rnacentral:rRNA from 1 species
GAUGAACGCUAGCGGGAGGCCUAACACAUGCAAGCCGAGCGGUAGAGUCUCUUCGGAGACUUGAGAGCGGCGCACGGGUGCGGAACACGUGUGCAGCCUGCCUUUAUCUGGGGGAUAGCCUUUCGAAAGGAAGAUUAAUACCCCAUAAUAUACUGGAUGGCAUCAUCUGGUAUUGAAAACUCCGGUGGAUAGAGAUGGGCACGCGCAAGAUUAGAUAGUUGGUGAGGUAACGGCUCACCAAGUCAGCGAUCUUUAGGGGGCCUGAGAGGGUGAUCCCCCACACUGGUACUGAGACACGGACCAGACUCCUACGGGAGGAAGCAGUGAGGAAUAUUGGACAAUGGGUGAGAGACUGAUCCAGCCAUCCCGCGUGAAGGACGACGGCCCUAUGGGUUGUAAACUUCUUUUGUAUAGGGAUAAACCUAGAUACGUGUAUCUAGCUGAAGGUACUAUAAGAAUAAGCACCGGCUAACUCCGUG